CCUACGGGAGGCAGCAGUAGGGAAUCUUCCACAAUGGACGAAAGUCUGAUGGAGCAACGCCGCGUGAGCGAUGAAGGCCUUCGGGUCGUAAAGCUCUGUUGUUAGGGAAGAACAAGUAUCGGAGUAACUGCCGGUACCUUGACGGUACCUAACCAGAAAGCCACGGCUAACUACGUGCCAGCAGCCGCGGUAAUACGUAGGUGGCAAGCGUUGUCCGGAAUUAUUGGGCGUAAAGCGCGCGCAGGCGGUCCUUUAAGUCUGAUGUGAAAGCCCACGGCUCAACCGUGGAGGGUCAUUGGAAACUGGGGGACUUGAGUGCAGAAGAGGAAAGCGGAAUUCCACGUGUAGCGGUGAAAUGCGUAGAGAUGUGGAGGAACACCAGUGGCGAAGGCGGCUUUCUGGUCUGUAACUGACGCUGAGGCGCGAAAGCGUGGGGAGCAAACAGGAUUAGAUACCCUGGUAGUCCACGCCGUAAACGAUGAGUGCUAAGUGUUAGAGGGUUUCCGCCCUUUAGUGCUGCAGCUAACGCAUUAAGCACUCCGCCUGGGGAGUACGGCCGCAAGGCUGAAACUCAAAGGAAUUGACGG
rnacentral:rRNA from 1 species